rnacentral:rRNA from 1 species
GUCCUAGCCGUAAACGGUGCGUGUUUGCUGUAAAAGGAAUCGACCCCUUUUGUGGCGGAGCCAACGCGUUAAACACGCCGCCUGGGAAGUACGGUCGCAAGAUUAAAACUCAAAGAAAUUGACGGGGGCCUGCACAAGCGGUGGAGUAUGUGGCUCAAUUCGAUGCAACGCGAAGAACCUUACCUGGCCUUGACAUGCACGUAGUAGGAGGGUGAAAGCCCGACGAGGUAGCAAUACCGGCGUGCACAGGUGCUGCAUGGCUGUCGU